rnacentral:rRNA from 1 species
CACGUAGGCACCAAGCGUUGUCCGGAUUAUUGGGCGUAAAGAGCUUGUAGGCGGUUCGGUAAGUCGGGUGUGAAACCUCUGGCUCAACUCAGAGACGCCACCCGAUACUGCUGUGACUAGAGUGCGGUAGGGGAGCGGGGAGUUCCUGGUGUAGCGGUGAAAUGCGCAGAUAUCAGGAGGAACACCCAGUGGGCGAAAGGC